rnacentral:lncRNA from 1 species
GCACUCCUUGUGUAUGAUGUCACUCGCCAUGCGACAUUUGAGAAUGUUGACAGAUGGCUGAAAGAAUUGAGGAACCACACGGAUUCCAACAUUGUUGUGAUGCUUGUUGGGAACAAAUCAGAUCUUCGCCACCUUGUAGCUGUCUCAACUGAAGAUGGGAAGUCCUAUGCUGAAAAGGAGUCUCUCUACUUCAUGGAAACAUCUGCACUGGAAGCAAAGAAUGUGGAAAAUUCCUUUGCUGAAGUUCUGACUCAAAUCUACCAUAUUGUGAGCAAGAAGGCAGUCGAAGGGGGAGAAAAUGGAACAGCUUCUGUCCCAGCAACAGGAGAGAAAAUAAAUAUUAAGGAUGAUGUGUCUGCUUUGAAGAGAGUUGGGUGCUGCUCAAGCUAGGCCUGGUAAACAAAACUUGAUUGAAUGAAUAUGGCUUCUUUGUACUGUGUAAUAUUUUUCAGAGGGAUACAAACUAGCGGAUACCAAAACACGAAAUUUUUCCUUGAGUAAGCUUAGCUCAUAUUAUCCACAAUUAGCAACAACCCAGUGGAUGCUGAUUAGCACAUUUAAAUCGCCUUUCAGCGUCAUCUAUGCGUUUAAAUCUAUUUUUACCCAGGAUAUAUAUUUGAUAAAUUUCAAUAUCGGAAAUGAUUGCGAUUGAGGGGAUUCAAGUAUUGUUUUGCAAGUCUAGUUGGAAGAAGUGUGCUAUAAAUUGAUCAUUCUAUAGUACUUCCAAGUGUGAGUUUCGGGUAGAUUCGGUGCUCUGGUUUCUCUUUCCAAAAAAUCUAUGUAUCUCAUUUAUGUGCUUGUUUAGUCGAUGAGUCUGCAUUAAACAAGUCAAGGGAAUAUAUAUUAGGUAGUGUUUGGUUGGCCAAAAUGGAAUCUGAAAUUAUUGUUAUGGAAAGGGCAUUACCAAAUUAAGGUUAUGAAUUUCCAUUCCACUCUACUACCUACUUAACCCUAGAAGAACUUCAGGCUCCAAACAUUAAAGUUAAACCAAACAAUGACCCUAACGGAGUAGAGAUUCUUACCUACCACCAGGGAUAUAUACAUCCCCAUGUGUCUAGAGUAUCGAUACAUUUCAUGUGUCUACCACACUUCUCAUGUGAUGAGUGUUGUUGACACAAACAUAUUUCCUCUGACACAUUAGAAUCUCUCCUAACGCAAACCCCGAAAACCUGAUUGUUGAUUGUUGAUUCUUGAAUCAUGAACCCAUGACUCAAGACACAUGAUAUGACACUGGGACCUGAGACUGCAAACCACAGACAUGUAAUAGCCCUCUUGGAUCCUUGACCUCGAAUUAGACUCUGUCUUGAGGAGUCAAGAUCUUACGCAAUUUUAAACAUGAUUCCCAUAUGAAAAUCAAACAAAAUGGAUUAAUUGCAUACUCAUUCAAUUCCGAAAUAAUACGAACUUGGUCCCCAGAGGCGUAGCACAAUGGUUUGAAAGAUGAGUUGGGGCUAACUGUAAACUCAUACGUCAGAUGUUCGAAUCUUACUGCUGUUGUGCGAGUUCCUAUGGAGCCAGGAGUGUGGGCUGAGGUUUGCCUGACAUGGAUGGGUCCAAUGUGAUCCUGCCUUGAAGGGGUUCCUCGAUAUAAUAAUAAUAAAAAACUUGGAUAAGUUAAAACAAUCACACUUUGCUUACAUGUAACAAAAGAAACUCAUCAACAUCAGUCAUAGUUUGAUACCAAAACCCUAACUGUUCUCUACAUAUGCGAGUCCAUCAAAAUCCUCUACCUAACGUUGCUUAUGUUCUUUUAAUUUUGAUCGUACAUUGUUUUUAAUGAGGUUGCUAGAAAGUACUCAAUUAUUCUUUGACAAUGUGGUUGUUUUUGUUUAUUUGUUUGUUCUUAUGUGCAGGUAGAUCGCUUGAAAUAAUAUUUUCCCCAAAUCUGCUAGGAUGCUGAUAGAAUUCCAAGGGUGUUUUAGUCUUUGUAAUCUUGCCAACCUAUUAGAGCAAUUCUAGCGGUAAGGUUGGGGCGUGGGUUGGGGGGGGAAGUUUGGGCCAAAAAAGUGAUUCCAGCAACAGAGGCUUGCUCGGGCAACAGGUGGACCCCAGCAGACUGGGUUGGCCCUCAGGGGAGGCUGGCCCGACUUGGAGCCUGAGUUUUGGAUGAUGUCAGCGCUCUAUAGUGCCGCCCAUAGCCAGCAUCCACGUGGCGUUGUCUGGGCUCUCAGAUCGGAUUUUUUCCUCCAAUCUAACGGCAGCGAAUUUUUGUGCAAUAAAAUAAUGAAAAAAUAUAUAAAUUUUUUUAAAAAAAUACCCAAAAAUUAAUGAAAUUUUUUUUUCUUUCUAUAAAUACCAACCAAUACUCUUUACUUUUAACACCAAAUCCUCAUACAUUUUCGUCACUUUCAACUAUUAUUCACUUUCUAUUUAAUAUUUUUUUCACUUUCAAAGUUUUAUUUUUUUCAAAAUCUUAUCCGAAUUUUUUUUCCGAUUAUGAGAUAUGAAUUUUAUAAUAAAGAUUGACAUGUAGGAACCCAAAAAUAUAAUAUGAAAAUAUUAUUCAAAUUAAUUAUUUAGGUAAAAAAAUUUGUGAAAAAAACAAAAAAAUGAAUAGUAAUUGCCCUUAGCCAUAGCAACGAGUGGAAACACAAAAUACUAUUUGCAAGGGUAACCUCUAUUCACGUGAAUAUUGGAUGCCCUAGCUCCCCCCUUGCCAUGGCUAAGAGCAAAUGGGUGGAGUUGCUCUUAUAUUAGGAGGUUAGUCAACAUUAGUUGGGGUUGAAUUGUAUUGUGUUUUGAAUAAUAAAAAUAGUAUAUUCUUUCUGUACAUUUGUAUUGUGGUAAGGUUCGUUUAAGCUCAUGAGUGGUUUUAAGGUUUUGGUUAUGUUGGGUUUGUGGGUUUUGUUUGGAUUUAUCGGUUAGAGGAAUGCUAGCAACAUUCUCCAUAACCUUCUCCUUUGGACCUUCUCCCUUUUUUGCUUGAUAUGUAUCAUUCUCCUUACACUUAAAACAAUGUCGUUAAUAUAUGGUAAGAAAGUUGUGAAUUUUUUUUGGAUAAAUUGAAUACAUUUAAUAAGGGUAAACUUGAAAAGCAAAAGUUGACUUGUAUAAUAUAUUAAUGACAUUGUUUUAAGUGUAAAGAGAAUGACACAUGUCAAACAAAAAAGGAAGAAGGUCUAAAGGAAAAGGUUAGAGAGAAGGUUGCUAGCAUUACCCUUUAUGGUUAAUUGUGGUGAUGUGGGCUAAUAGUUUUGGUGCUGCGUUUGUCUAUGUUAGUUUGUUGCCCUCUUGAGAUUGGUACUUUAGAUGUCUGGUUAAUGUUUUUGAUUGUAUUGUUGAAGUUUCUCCUUGAUAAAAAUAAAAAUAAAUCACACUACUUACGUACUUGAAACUGGCUGCGUUACACUGAGAGGCUAAAUUUCAAGUAGUUUACUUAUUUAAUCUGUGGUUGUCUUUAGGCACUUUUUGUAAAUUUUUAAUUAAAAAAAUGUAUAAUUUGACAAAAAACGUAAAUAAAUUUUUUUAUUAGGACAUAUAACAUAAGAAAAUUGUACUUUAUUUCAUUAUUUUAUUUAUUUAUGAUGACUUAAUACAACAUCAUAACAUGAUGUGAAAUAUUACUUUAUAAACUAAACAACCACAUUUUUUGUGUUUCAAAAAAAAAAAAAAAAAUCACAAUUUUGUUUUCUUUGGGUCAAAACAAGAACCAAAUCAGGCCAAUGAGACCCAUAGGCCGAAGCCCAUCAUUUACCUCUAAAACCUCUCCGGCUCCCGCUCAAUUCAAGCAAAUCCCACUCUCCCCAAAACCCUCUCUCUCUCUCUCUCUUGCUCGCGCAAACCCAAAUUCCAAUUGAAGCAGACCAAAGCAAACCCCUUUUGGCGAAAAUGAGAGAAGAAGAGAUAGAAAAGCUUCGUGGGGUAGUGAGGGACUGCGUGACCAAGCACCUCUACUCCUCCGCCAUAUUCUUCGCUGAUAAAGUCGCUGCCUUUACCAAUGACCCUGCUGAUAUCUACAUGCAGGCUCAGGCUCUCUUUCUCGGCCGCCAUUAUCGACGAGCCUACCACCUCCUCAAUGCCUCCCAGAUCGUUCUCCGUGACCUCCGAUUUCGUUACCUCGCUGCAAAGUGCCUUGUAAGUCUCUUGCUGUUGAAAUCAGGAAAUAGGUUCUCUUUGUUUGCUGAUUUAGUUCAAUGUUUUUGCUUGUAAUGGGGUUUCCAUUUGUGGGUUGUGGGUUUCUUAGUUGGGUUUUGUUUCACUUUAGUAUGUGGUUGUAGAAGAAACGAAAAAUGGAUUUACCUCUCUCUCUUUUCAGUGCAUUGUAUCAGUAAAAUAAUCUUUCUUUUCAGUUCACCUCUCUCUCUCUCUCUCUCUCUCUUUCUCACACAAACACGCGCACUCUCUCUCCACAUGUUUUCUUUUUUCCUUUUCAUUAUCUUUUCGGGCAGUUACGACAAAUUGACAGUCUUCAGCUCUAAAUUUGGCUCCAUGAAGUCGUUUUCUAGGUUAAUAGUACUGACUAGUCCAUUUCUUUCAUGUCCGUGUUUAAUCAGGAGGAGCUGAAGGAGUGGGAUCAAUGCAUAUUAAUGCUUGACGAUGCCAAAGUGGAUGAACAUGGGAAUCUGAAUGACACAAAGGAUUCAAAUAUCAUGUACUUGGAUAAAGAUGGCGAAGAUCAUGAGAUCAAUGUAAGAUUCUCUCUCUCUCUCUCUCUCCCUCUCCCUCACCCCUUUGUAAGCAUUGCUAUAUGAAAACUUGGCUGGCAACAGUUUUUAAUAUUCUACCUUAAGACACUACUAUGGGUUUAUUGUACUACUAUCUUUGUCUCUAAGUUGGUUUCAUUGUAGUAUUUAUCUGCUUAAUUCAUUUGCCAUACUGGGUAUCUACAGUUGGAGUCUAUGAAUAUCUGAGUUUUCAAUGUUGAUGGCAUGUUUUAGGCUCUUGAACAUUUAUGCUUGUAUAAGUUUCUAGUCAUGAAAUGUGUUAUUCCUAUCUUGCAACAGAUAUCUUCUGCAAUAUGCUUUUUACGUGGUAAGGCAUAUGAAGCAUUGGAAAACCGUGUCCAGGCCCGGCAUUGGUAAGUUGUUUCUGUGACUUAGCCUUAUCAUGUAAUGUCUUAAGGGGUGCGUGUCUGUUCCAGUGUGUUUUUGGGUAAAAUUAAUGAUAUCCUCUGUAGUUUUUAACUUGACGAGUUGUGAAACUUAAACUAAAUGUUGAUCUUGUGGAUAGAGAAUAAUAUGAUUUCUGUAGGUGUGACAUCUAUUGAGAAAAGCAUAUAUUUGGAAUGGAUACUUUAACGUGUUCUGUUUGCUCUAAUUCUUUCAAGGUACAAAGCUGCUAUCAAAGCCGAUCCCUUAUGUUAUGAGGUAUGUAUUCGAUCUAUUAGCCUACCAAAAUAAUUUCUUGUCUUCUCUAACAUUUAUGGCCACCAAAAGCAGGGAGGGGAAAUAGCAUUCCCUACAAAAGGAUUAAAAUUUCUAAAGUAACAAAUUAAGAAACUGUUUUAUCAUUCCAAACAUGCUUAAAAUACAUGGAAUCUUCUAUCGCUUGAUUUUUUUAAAGGUUUUGCAGUAGUUCACUUAUGGAAGCAUUACUCAUAAGUUAGAUAGAAUCAUUUUUGUAUGGGGAAAUAAAUUUCAUCUGGAAAAUAGAGAGACCCACGUGAGAGCGUUAGGCAAAACGUUGAGCUCUAUAGCAUUUUCAUUGUCAUCCUUCAAACUUUUUCUAAUGUCUUUAUUUAUUCCUUUUUCAGGCAUUGGAAUGUCUUAUUGAAAAUCACAUGCUUACAUAUGAGGAAGGUUAGAAUCACCAAAAUAAUACUUUUCUUUUAAUCACGUGUGCUUGUUAUUAAAGGAAGUAACAUCAUGAAUUUUGAUACUAUUUCUAUGUAAUUGCUGAAAUCUAAUUUAGGCUUCUGGUACUUUCAUAUUUUUGUUGAUCCAUAGAUUGGAUUGUAGUGUUUCCUCUGCAUUUCUUAAAAAAAUUAUUCCACUAAGGACGGGAUGGUUCCCUUCUUAAACCUUUUGAUUUGCUGCUGAGUUUCAGAGGCAAGUCUACUUGCGUCAUUACAAUUUGGUCCUGAAGAUGGAUGGCUCUCAUCAUUCUACUCAUGCUUAAUUAAAAAGGUAAACAGAAAGCCAUUUCAAUAUGUCAGACUUCAAAUGUCGAACAUAGAGAAGACAUCUUACAUCUGAAUACUUUUAAUUAAUAUAGAUCACUGUACAAACAUAAAGUAACAAUAUCUUUUCCUGUGCUCUCAUCAGUCUUUCUCCUUUUUGUGUUUUCCAGUACGACAAAGAAAAUGUUGUAGAAGCAAAAUUCAGAGAACUUGAAAAAGAGAAGUGUAAUAGUAACACUUCUGAUCCAUCCUUCUUUCGUACUCUGAAAACCAACACUGACCUUCUUGCCUGCAAAGCUGAAUACUACCAUCAGUGUGGUGAAUAUCAAAAAUGCUUUGAGCUAACUUCUGUGUAAGUUCGCAACUGGUUUGGAACAAAUUACAAUAACAACCCACACAUUAGAUGCUAUUUUCCCCCAAUAAUUUAUGUGUUUCAUUUUUGAUUUAACAGACUACUUGAAAAAGACCCUUUCCAUCUGAAGAGUACAUUGGUGCAUCUAGCCGCUGCUAUGGAACUUGGGCAUUCAAAUGAGCUCUAUCUUAUGGCAUGCAAUUUAGUGAAGGACUAUCCUCAAAAGUGAGAGUGGUUGAAACACUUAUUAAUGGAGUCACUACCGUACAAUUUGAAAGUACAUCCAUAAAUGCAUACACAUAUUUUAUGGUAUGCGGACAUGCAAUCUGGAUUGCAGUUACCAGGGGUUUGGGGGAUCUGGUAACUCUGAUUUGAGAUGCCACUUGAAAGAUUGAUUUUGGAUUUUUUUAAGAAUCUAUGUUUUGUUGCUUGUGCAAUUCAUCUAGUUCAUUACUUUAUCAGGUUUAUUCUCUUGCUAGGGCCUUAUCAUGGUUUGCCGUUGGAUGUUACUAUUAUUGUAUAAAAAAGUUUGCUGAGUCACACCGUUAUUUCAGGUAACUUCAUCACGAUUAGUAAUGCUGUUAAAAACGAAAUGUAUACACUUAAUUGUAUUGCUAGUUGCUCAUUUUCUCCGAUGUUGAAUUGUGAUAUUUUGGUAUUGAGUGGUUUAGAGUUUCUGCAUUUACUGGUUUAAGAUCCUUUGACUGGGACAUAUUAUUUUUUCUAUAUACUUGAAGGCUUUGUUAUGCAGUUAUGUUGUGUAUCUGAGAAAUUAGGUUAUGAUCAUUCUUUUCCCUCAGCUUCCCCUGAUAUUCAAAUGUUGUUUAAGGUGGAGCUGUUACUAAGUUCAAAACCUUGUUGCCUGAUAAAUAGCCUUCACGUCAUAAUGGAUGUUUUAGAUUACUUAAUGUGGAUUCUGUUAGACUAUAUAGGGAUUGCAUUUAGUUAGGCUCAUAAACUCAUUUAACCCCGUACCAGUUGUUACCACAUUGAUUUUUAAAUAUCUUUAUGCUGGUUAUCUUACUGCAAAUAUUUACAUUGCUUUGUGUCAUUCAUCUAUUAAUAGGCUUUUUAUACAUUUAGACUAUGGACCAAAUCCUGGUUUAAAUUUGAUUUAGUCCUGCCUGAACAUGGGCUGCUGCUUGCUCCUUCAUUUGGUGACAGACAUUUGGAGCAAUUAUCUGGAACCAUAAUAUACUUAAAAAUCAUUUGAAAUGAUAACUGUAGCAAGGAUUUUUGUUACUUAUGUGCUGCAAUAUUUUGAAUCAUUACUGAUCUCUUUUGGCUUCAUUCUACACUAUAGCAAGGCUACCAGUCUAGAUGGGACCUUUCCACCUGCUUGGAUUGGAUAUGGGAAUGCUUAUGCUGCUAAAGAAGAGGGUGAUCAAGCAAUGUCAGCUUAUCGCACUGCUGCUCGUUUGUUUCCAGGGUAAUUUAUGCGUCUUCGGGGCUCUUAUGGUUUUCUGUUACCUUGAAUUUUUUUCUUCUUCUUCCACUUGGAAAUAUAAGGAAGGAUAUAUGAUCAUGUCGUGUACAUUACCUGUGUUUGAUUAUUUUCUAAAGAGAACCUUUGGAUAUUUCUUUAUCUGUGUCAUUCUCUUUUAUAUUGUUUCUAUUCUUGGUUACUUGUGGUAUUGUUUGUGUAUGCUUUUUCUACCAUGCCCACUUCUAGAAUUGCUUUGCGAGUAACAAUAGAAGUCCACCACCACCCCACACCACCCACCCCCACCACAAAAAAAGAGAGGGAAAGAAUGAAACUAUGAACCAUCACCUAAUUUCUAUGUUUCUCUCUCGCUCUCUCUCUAUCUCUAUAUAUAUACCUACCUGUGCACAUUUGUUAAUGGCAUCGGAGUGAAAAUGUAUUACAAGAAAAAGGUCAAGAGCACAGCAAAGGUAUAGGUGUUGAGAGUUCAAAAUUUUCAAAAUGAAUUUCUAAUGAUCUUAAUCAGAAUAUUUUGAAUGAAACUUUUCAAAUGUUUUGCAGUUAGAUCUGAAACAUAUUUUGUGUAUGUAAUAUUUAAGCAUGUUUUCAUUUUUUCAUUCAGAUAUCAGAUUUUGCCACAAUUUAACUUUUACAAGAGUAAAAAAGAAAAGGUCUUAGCAGUAACUUUUGUGUAUUCAUUGCCUCUCUGUUAAACUCAUUGUCUUAUGUUAUAUGGUCAUUAUCAUGGCUGCAAACCUACCUAGUAUAGUAUUUCAUCUGUCUCUUUUGUCCAAUGGUCCAUAGUUUAAGUUCUCUUAUUAUGUAUGAAUUGUCUUUUACAGGUCUUGAUAUUCUCUUAUUCCAGGUGUCAUUUACCAACUUUGUACAUUGGGAUGGAGUACAUGCGAACCAACAGCUUUAAGCUCGCUGAACAGGUAACUUACAGUUCUGUAAACCACUUACUUGUUGCCGUUUGUGAUCUUGACUUUGGUCCAGAAAUGUGAAAUAAUCCACAUCUAUAUCAUCAUACAAGGGAAGCCCUGAAUUUUGGUGGCACAUUUAUUUCAUGAGUUUCUACCUUAUGUCUUACCCAUUAAGUCUCAAAAACAAGUCUUUAUAUUAAAUGAUUAUACAUUUCCCACCCAAAAACAAUGGAUUCUGUAACUUGGUAUUUUGUUUUAUCAUACUAUAAAAGUACUGAUAUUGCCUUGCUUUUUAGUUUUUUAUGCAGGCGAAGACCACUUGCCCAUCAGAUCCACUAGUAUAUAAUGAACUUGGUGUUGUGCUAUCAUUGAUCNNNNNNNNNNNNNNNNNNNNNNNNNNNNNNNNNNNNNNNNNNNNNNNNNNNNNNNNNNNNNNNNNNNNNNNNNNNNNNNNNNNNNNNNNNNNNNNNNNNNNNNNNNNNNNNNNNNNNNNNNNNNNNNNNNNNNNNNNNNNNNNNNNNNNNNNNNNNNNNNNNNNNNNNNNNNNNNNNNNNNNNNNNNNNNNNNNNNNNNNNNNNNNNNNNNNNNNNNNNNNNNNNNNNNNNNNNNNNNNNNNNNNNNNNNNNNNNNNNNNNNNNNNNNNNNNNNNNNNNNNNNNNNNNNNNNNNNNNNNNNNNNNNAAAGCUAUGCUCAGAAUAGUAAAUUAAAGAUAGACAUAUCAAAUUCUAAUUAGCCCAAACAGGAUUUCCAGAAAAGGGAAGUAUUGUUUAUAAUUUAAAGAAAGGAAAUAGUGAUCACUAACAUAGUGUCAUUUGACUUGAGAACUUUUAAAAUUGGGGCCCCUUAUGUUGUAUAAUCAUUGUUUAGCUCAUUUAUAUUACUACAGCAUGAAGUUUAUGAUAUUCUGUCAUUAAUGUGGACUAUUAGGUUGUAUUAUCGAAUCUUUUGCAUGUUCUUUUACCUCUUUAGACUGUUCUGUUUGCUGACCAUUUGUCAUAAAUAUUCCUUUAAGCCAUACCUGUCUCAUUUGUACUAAGUGAUUUUUGAUGAAUCUCUGUCUUUUCAUACAGGUAUAACAAAGCUGUGUGGUGGUUUGAGAAAACUUUGGCUCAAAUUCCUUCCCCUUUAAGUGAAAUGUGGGAACCAACUGUGGUUAAUCUAGCUCAUGCAUACAGAAAACUGAAGUACGUCUUUUAUUUGAUUAUAGUUUCUAGCAUUUCUUUUGUUGGUUCCUUUUGAGGGCUUGGGGAUAUACAGUGUCUUUAAUUAUUUUCUGCUCCAAUUUUUUUUUAUUUUUUUACUAGGAGAUUAUUGUAUCUUUGAUUUGUGGGGUUGAGAGAAUGUUCUAUGGUUGCUUUGAUUCUUUGUAGCUUUUUAAUAUAGCUGUCUACUAUUUAUUUUGGUGCUUUUAAUUCCCUACAAAGAAUAUUUCCUUUGGCCUAAUUAGAUAAACCUACUCUCUCUCAGGAUGUACAAUGAAGCUAUUUCAUACUAUGAGAAAGCACUUGCAUUGUCAACCAGAAGUGUGAGUACUUAUGCAGGUCUUGCAUAUGCUUACCAUUUACAGGUAUCUAAAGUUAUCAAUUACUUUAUGUAUUAUUAGAGAAGAAUUCUUUCAUUUGAAGUGGAUUGUGAAAAACUGAUGUGCCACUUUCUGACUCAGCUUAUAUGCUUGUGUUUAAACACUGAAAUGUGAAAAAGAGUGUAUAUGUGCCUUUCAUCCCCGUCCAUUAUGGUCACAAUACUUGAUGUUUCUUUUCGUUCUUGUUUUCACUGUUGUGCAGGAUAAUUUUACGGCAGCGAUUACAUACUAUCAUAAAGUGAGUAAUUAUUCUCUCUCCUAAAAGUUGAAUGACUGUGUAUCUGGUUAAGUGAAUAGGAAAUUAGAUGUGUUGCUUUAAGAAUCUUAAAAGGAUUUUUUUGUUGUGUUUUUUUUGUGUGCAUAAUUUAUGAUGUUCAAAAUAUUUAUGUGGUUUAUGCUCCGUGAUAAUAAACUUUAAAUGCACGGAGCCAUUAAAGUUUCUGUAGGAUGCUGUCAUGCCCAAAGAUGCUUUGACGGGCCUGGAGUGCAUCUCUUUUCAGAUGCUUAUAGUAUUUGAGUUACAUGAAAUUCGUCUAAUUGCAGGAAGAAAGUAUGAUAAUGGCAUAGGUAUUAAUCUGUUUUCCUUUGUUCAUUUUCCUGAGCAGGCUCUAUGGCUACAACCAGAUGAUCAUUUUUGCACUGAAAUGUUAAGUUUGGCUUUAGCAGAUGAAGCCCGUGGACCACAGAACUGAUUUUUGAUGUAAUUAGGCUUAAUUAUGUUUAGUGAUACUCGUACUUAAGCGUGUGUAUUGUAUGUGCAAUAGAUACCCCAAUGCCUUGGAUUAGAUUAGGAGAUGUAAUAUCUUUAAUUUUAUUUCUUGUAUCAACGUAAUGUCAGCUGGGACCUGUAAUUAAUCAACGGUUGAUAGUUGAAAAAUAGGUUCAUGGCAGUUUAUUCAUGAUUUUGGCCAAGUCUUAGGUUUAUUCAUGGAGUUGUAUUUGUUGAUUGCAAAAGAUGGGGCAUUGAAAUCGCAUCCGAAAAAGAAGACAUGAUUAUAUCUGAAGACGCUAUGCCUUACAUCAGAAACACACAGGAAAAAAGAAGAGCAAACUGAAAAUCUGAAAUAACAAGUAUGACAAUAUAUCUAGUUUCUAAUCCUUCUUUUCAUACUGCUGAUAUGCAGUGUCGUCAUCACACAGGUACUACCUUGUACAUUGUCUGGGAAUUGGAAAUAUGCAUAUCUCUACAUCUUCUUAAGAAUUAAAGAAGCAAACUCCCCAAAAUCCUACAAUGAAUCCAUGGAAGUUGGUGCCCAUGGUCCACAUCUCGGUUGUUCUUAUCUGGAUCAAUGCCUCUAAUUCAGAUUGUUCACAGGUUUAUAUAUAUAUAUGAGCAACUAGAUUAUAGAGAAGAAGGGAAUGCUUCAUAAAUUAAUCUACAAAUCAUCAUUGGUUUCAUGAGGAAUUGGCAAACAACCUAAGCUUCAUAAAUUAAUCGACAAAUCAUCAUUGCUUCAUAAAUUAUGGGGCUCCCUAGUCAUAAUUAGUUUCCUGAUUUUGUGUCUUUUAUUUUUCCUCUGAUUUUAUGUAGCUUCUGUUUGAGGGGUAGGUCAUUUUUGUAAAUUGGUGUAUAUCAUUCUAUACUUUUCCAAUAAUUUUCUUUCUGAAAAGAUAUAAUUAUUAGAAAAGGAUUACUGAAAAUUGAAUGAACUAACAUAUUGGACUUAUGCAUGACCAUGAUAAUAAUGCUUUGUCAUACAUGCAUGGAGAUGGAUGGAGCAUUAAAAGUUCUGUAGGAAGGCUUCAUACCCAAACACUUUUAGAGGUACCUGGAAUAUAUAUCUUUUUAGAUGGUUAUAGGGUUUGAGUUAUAUAGUCCUGAUCUCUUGGACUACAGGAGUCUAAGAAAUUUAUGGUCACUCACCGUUGAAUGUAAAUUCAACGGUUCACUCACUCUUGCACUCAUUUUAAGAAACUUUUUUGAACCAUUGGAUUAAUAUCCAACGAUAGGUGACUACACUCUCUUGGACUCCUGUGGUCCAAGAGAUCGAGAUUGUUGAGUUAUAUAAAACAUGUAUGGUUCUAAUUGCAGGUAUGUUUCCUUUUCCAUGCAGACUCUAUGGCUAAAACCAGACGAUCAAUUUUUGCACUAAAAUGUUAAGUUUCGCUUUAGUAUGAAAUCCGUUGCGCUAUUGACCCCAUAAUUGAAUUUCGAUAGGUUCAUGGCAAUAUUUCAUGAUUUUGGCCAAAUUCAGUAGAGUUUUCCAGUCGCAUGCAAAAUAUAUAUAUGUAGCUGAAGUUGUAUUUGUUACUUGCAAAAGGUAUCCGAAAAAUAUAACGCAAUAAUAACUGUCCCUUAUUACAUCACGAACACAUAAGAAAAGAAGAAAAAGAAGAAGAGAAAAGCGAACAAAAAGUACAGCAAUAUACAUCUAGGCUCGAAGCCUUCUCUUUAUCCUGUUCAUGCUCACUGUCAUCAUCACAUAGAGCCUAUCUUGUACAUUGUCUAUGAAUCCAAAAUAUGCAUACCUCCAUCUCUUCUUAAUAAUUAAAGAACCACAGACUCCCCAAAAUCCCACUAUGAACCCUAGCACAACAGAAGAAAUAUAAAACCAUGGAAGUUGAUGUGGAUGCCCAUAGCCCGCAUGUUUGUUCUUACCAUCUGCAUCAAUGGUGUUAUUUGUUUCGCACUUAUUUAGACUUGGGGCACCACAAAGCUUUGGGUUCCCCUCAAAUGCAGAAGCAUCGAAGCUUUGGAUCUGAGUGCUUGUUGGCAUUGGUCCUUCGAGAUUAUUGUAUGAGACAUCAAAUUUUUUCAAGAAAUUAAGGGCUGUUAAUGACCAUGGAAUUUUCCCAGACAAAUGAUUCAUGGAGAGGGUUAACUCCUCUAAAUUUUUAAGGUUAGAUAUUUGGUUUGGAAUGACGCUGGAGAAGCUGUUAGAGUGAAGAAGCAACAAGCAGAGAAGGUGCAAUUGGCUGGUCUCAUUAGGUAUAUCACCAUCUAUGUUAUUGCGAGAUAGGUCUAUCAUUGCUGGAAUGAAAGACAAUCUGCGCGGUAGAAAAGUUGGAUUUGCGGGUUUGUGGCCGAGGGGAGGCAAUUCAAGUUCGUAAGUGUCUUCUUCAAAAGGUUCAUAAAGCAAUCUUGGUAGUCCACAAAGUUCCUUUGGAAAUUCACCUGAAAUUCGGUUACCUGCCAAGUUUAGAGAAAAAAGUCUAGGAAGAGUCCCCAACCAACUUGGAAUUGGCCCUGUGAUUUGAUUAUUCUCCAGAUGCAAGAUCUCUAGAUUCUUGAGCUUUGAUAACCAUACAGGUAUUUGACCAGUGAGCUGACAAUUGGCCAAACUCAAGUACCGAAGAUUUUGGAACCCAUCAAAAUCAACCAUGUCAUCAUAACCUGGCAUUACCUCACCUUCAAAGGAAUUCGUAAGGAAGAGUACAUGGAGACUUUUGCAACUCAUUAGUAUCUUCAUUGCUUCUGUGACAUUGGUUAAUCGGUCAAAACCAAGAGAGAGGAAAGACAAGGAUUUCAAUGAAAGAAUCUCAGCCUGUAUUUGUCCCUCUAUAUAAUUUCCAGACAAUCGAAUGGCUUUUAAAGACCGACACGAGUAAAGGCUUAUUGGCAAGAUACCAAUGAAUUCGUUAAUAAAUAUAUCAAUUUUACUAAGUUGACUAAGUUUGGAGAAAUUAAGUGUGGAGAUAUCUCCUUCCAAGUUGUUGGAUGCUAGAUGUAUUUCAAUAAGGUUUGUGCAAUUCAUCAAAGAUGGGGGCAAGGCACCUUCUAAAUGGUUGAAAUCAAGGUUCAGUAGUUUCAACUUGGACAGCUUCCCAAAAUUGAGAGGGAGGACACCACUCAAUUGAUUAUAAUAGAGGUCAAGGAUUGCAAGGUUUGUGAGUUGACAAUUCUAUCCACUAAUGGCUCCAUAANNNNNNNNNNNNNNNNNNNNNNNNNNNNNNNNNNNNNNNNNNNNNNNNNNNNNNNNNNNNNNNNNNNNNNNNNNNNNNNNNNNNNNNNNNNNNNNNNNNNAAUUCAAAACCCUAGUCAAGCGCGAAGAAUGUUUGAGACAAAUAGAGGAUGGGAAGGGCCCUGACAAAAUAUUGUUGCUGACAUUAAAACUAAUCAAAUUCCUAGUUUGUUGGAAGAAAGAAGAUGGAAUUGCACCCUGAAACUGAUUGCUUGACAAAUCCAGUUUCUUGAUACUGCUGGAUGGUAGAUAAAGUGGUAGUUCUCUAGAAAGAAGGUUAUAACUCAAAUCAAGGAUCUCAAGAUGUUUCAGGGAUGAGAAGAAUUCAGUUUGAAGUGAUCCGUAAAGUGAAUUGUUUGAGAGAUUCAAGUGGGUGAGAUGUGUGAGAUUUCCAAGUGGGGGAAACAUACCUCCUUUGAGCCCCUUGGAGGGUAAGUGCAAAUGGGUAACCCAACCAUCCUGAUCACAAGUGAUGCCUUUCCAAUGACAACAGUUAACCGAAGUCCAGUUUAAAGUAGGAGAAGCUAAUGUGAGGGUGAAGGACAAGAGGGAGCUGCGCUCAAUUUGGUUGCAUGCAUGAAUAUAUGUAGAGAUAGUCGAAGAGAAAAAGAGGAUGAGAAGGAAGUAUGAACCAUUGGGUUAUAAGGUUGUAUGGCUAGCUUUUGCUUCUUCUUGUAUUUAUAUUGCUCACAGCACAUAACUUACGUACUCGCGCGCACACACACAGGAGCAACGAAGGGCAACUUAUUUUCUUUUCAUCAUGUUAAUCUUCCAAGUUCCUUCCCCAAAUGAAGGCACCUACCUGUGAAAUAUCACAUGGCAGACAUGUAGCAGUCAUUAAAAUAGAAGCCUUCUCUAUAGGGCGUUUGAAAAGAAAAUAGAAAGCUUUGAAUUGUGGUGAGCAGAACGUCGAAAUUGGGGGGUUAAAGUGCUUAAUAUUUUUAAAAUUUUCUAUUUAUUCAUUCCAUCCGUCAACUAAAUGACCCCACAUCAAGAAAUAGAUAAAAUGUAGAUUGAUGUUAGACUAAUAGAUAAACGUUUCUGAUCGACAACACACGAUGCAGCUUGAAACGCCACGCGCCUCAUGCGAUGAAGAGAACGCGCCUCACGCGGCGAUCUUUUCCAGCGACUUCUCUCGACUACCUCCUGUUACGGCGACGACUACUCCACCUAAAUUUGUGUUCAGUGCUCUCCAACCUGAGAACAAACUGGAAUCAGUGGGAACGAAGCGGAUUCGAACUACGGAGCCAGAUCCCAACUCGUCUGGUGAUAUGGCGACUGAUGUGGGCUUCGGCUCUCCUCCCCCUGUAACCUUGAAUUUUAGGGAUUCGGUCUUGAAACAAGGUGGACAUGGCUCUACCCGAACUGGGCUUGGGGGGAUGGCGGAUGAUAAAUUCACGAUUGAGGCUGAUGACUUUAUCGUCUCAGAAGGUGAAAAGGGACCGAGCAUCAUAUUUUCUGAACAGGUUAAAGAGCGCCUCUACAGACCUUGGCGAACCUCAAUCAUCAUCAAGCUGAUGGGUAAGUCUCACACUUACAAUUUUGUUCUUGCCAGGCAGCAUAGAUGGGGUAUGAUUAAGGGCCCUUGGAAACUAAUUGAUUUAGAGAAUGGAUUCUUUAUUGUGAGAUUUGUGCUUGAAGAGGAUAUGAAAGCUAUUCUAUGCGGUGGCCCUUGGGUUAUUGCUGGCCAAUACCUGGUUAUGCAGCGCUGGAAGCCUAGGUUUGAUCCCCUUGUGGAGCAAGUGACAAGGAUGACCGUUUGGGUCCGGAUUAUUGGUCUCCACGUUGAAUGGUUCCGCCCUGAAGCCAUGCUACGCAUUGGAGAUUUACUGGGCACCACAUUCAAGGUUGACUCCAAUACUGUUGCCCAGGUUCGAGGGAAAUAUGCCCGAGUGUGUGUGGAGAUUGAUCUUACCCAACCCCUACAAGCCUUCGUGCAGGUGGAGGAUAACUGGUAUGGUUUGGAAUAUGAAGGCAUCCAUUUGGUGUGCUUUGCCUGUGGGUGCUAUGGCCACAACAGAAACGUUUGCCCCUCAGUGAUUAAAAAACCGCAUACUGAGAAUGUUCAGAAUACCACCCAACCCAUGGAUGAAGGGACACCGAGCGCCUCUCCCCUCCCUGUCAAUAAGGCAAGCUCUGAUGCCAUGCCUCAGGAUGACCCCCACGAGUCUUCAGGUACUUUAAUAGGACCUUGGAGCCUGGUCCAGAAUAGGAAGGGUAAAAAGCCCUUUAAGGCCAAUGCUGACCUGAAGGCCAAGAUGCUUGCCCCCAAGCUUAAGGAGCCUAAUGUUGACCGUGGUGCUUCCCCUGCUGGAUCAAGAUUUGAAGCCUUGGAUAAUGAUAAAAACAGAGUUGAUUCUCAUGCUGCUAUUGGGAAUGUUGUUGUUGAGGAGGUGUCCCAAAUACAAACUGAGACAAAUGCUGGGCCUGCUAAACCUUCCAAGGCUAAGGGUCGGUCUAAGUUGAAAGGUAAAGCUCGCCAAGCCCUGGGAGAUAUCUCAAACGAUGGUGUUGUUGAUAAGCCCCAGAUGGGUAUUGAAAAUAAUAUAUCUUGUGCCUCCACUACCAAAGUUGGCCCCGAGUCCCGUUCUGAACCUAAAAGGAAACUUAAAGGUGUUGUGGCUGGUAAAUCUUCGGGCUUCCAAGUCAGAAGUAUUGACUUCCAUGAAGCCACCCUGGGAGACGUUGUGGCAAGCUUGAAAUCUAAGCUCCCCAACGCUGGUAAAUCUCCGCCUCCUAUUUUAGCUGGGGUUGAGCCGCCUGAUCCUGGUCCGACUGAAGAUAAGUUGGAGGAUAUCCCAGGAGAUAAGAUGGAUGAUGACCAUGGAGAAAACUCUGCCCCUCAGAUUACUAUUAAUUUGGAUGCUGCUAGACUGAAAAAAGCUAUGUUAGAUGUUAAGAAUGGAGUUGUUGGUGCUGCUUCUACUUUGGUAGAAGUGCUGAACGCUUCCAGUCAGUGAGGUUUUUUCCUCAGGUUCUUGCUGCCACCUUCCUUCCCCAUCAUCAUGAUUAUGGUCUGGAAUGUAAGAGGCGCAGGGAGUAAAAAUUUCCCUGGUAUUAUGAAAGAUCUAGUUAAAAUUCACAAGAUUGAUAUUCUUGUCAUUUUGGAGCCUAGAAUUAGUGGCAACACUGCCCUAAAUGUUAUUAAGAAGCUUGAGUUUUCGAAAUUUCAUGUUGUUGAUGCUAAUGGAUUUUCAGGGGGUAUUUGGAUGCUCUGGAAUGAGCAUGUCUCCUGUGUUGAUAUUGUUGCCUAUUCUAGGCAGUCUAUAACAGCUCUCAUUAAAAUGAACCACAUUGAUUGGCUUUUUACGGCAAUCUAUGCGCACCCUUGCCCUGGCACCCGUAAAAAUCUUUGGAGUUAUUUAGAUGGGAUUGCUUCGGCCACUAACCUCCCUUGGAUGAUUGCUGGUGACUUCAAUGAGUUGGUUGACAAUUCUGAAAAAUGUGGUGGUAAUCCCAUUUCUCAUGGGAGUGGCCUUGUGGAUUGGAUUGAUAGAAACAAUUUGAUUGAUCUUGGUUUUAUUGGUGCUCAGUUUACUUGGUGCAGGAAAAAUGAGAAUGGUGUCCUCACUUGGGAAAGAUUGGAUCGCAGUCUGUCCAACAUUAACUGGAGACAUCAAUUUCCCGAGGCCUUUGUCAGACACCUCCCUAGAGUCAAGUCUGACCAUUGCCCCUUACUCAUUAGCCUCCAGUCUGCUUACCUCCCCUGUGCUACUGCCAAACCUUUCAGGUUCCAAGCCAUGUGGCUCCUGCACCCUACCUUUCGCAGCUUUGUGGUUGAUAAAUGGGCUAACUUUACUGGAAGUAUCCUCCAAAAAACUCAAGCCCUUUCCUAUGCUCUCACUACUUGGAAUAUGGAAGUGUUUGGGAGUUUAUUUCGAAACAAGAAGAAGCUGCUGGCUAGAAUUGGCGGGAUUCAAAAAGCCCACUGCAGAAGACACUCCCCUUUUCUGGCUGAUUUGGAAAAAGAGCUCACCAAUGAAUACCAAGCCUUGCUUGACCAAGAAGAACUUUUUUGGUUACAGAAGUCAAGGAACACUUGGCUUAAAGAAGGGGACCGUAAUACCAAGUUUUUCCACCUGUCUACCAUUAUUCGCAGAAGAAGGAACAAGCUGGAGGGCCUCACUAAUGCUCAAGGUACGUGGACUAACAAUAAAAAUGAAAUGGAGUCUAUCAUUGUGAACUACUUCAAGAAUCUCUUUGCUGCCCAAACGAUGAGAUACUCUAAUGCUGAUCUCCCCCAGCUUUUUCCUAGCUUGGAGGACUCUGAGUUGGCGACCCUCAAUUGUGACGUUAAUCCUCAAAUCAUUAAGGAUUGUUUGUUCAGUAUUGGCAGUCUUAAAGCUCCAGGCCCGGAUGGAUACCCUGCUAAGUUCUACCAUGAUUUUUGGGAUCUUUGUCAGGGAACCUUUGUUGAGUUAGUUGCUGGUUGUUUCUGCUCUGCAAGCAUCCCGGAUGAUCUAAAUGACACGCUGAUUACCCUUGUUCCUAAAGUGGCUAGUCCUAGCUCUGUUGCCCAGUUAAGGCUUAUCAGCCUUUGCAAUACGUUGUACAAAGUGGUGUCUAUGAUCAUUGUUCAGAAGCUCAGGCCUCUCAUGCAAAAGAUUGUCAGUCCUGCGCAAGCUAGCUUCAUCCCUGGCAGGCAGAUUGUUGACAACAUUAUUGUUGCCCAAGAGGUCCUUCAUAAAUUCAGAAAUUCUAAAGGCAAGAAGGGGUUCAUCGCUUGGAAAAUUGACCUCUCCAAAGCCUAUGACAGGAUUAACUGGGAUUUCAUCUAUGAUGUGCUAUGGGAAAUUGGGAUUAGAGGCAAACUCCUGGUUCUUAUCAUGCAGUGCAUCAAGUCGGUCAGAUACCAAGCCAUUCUCAAUGGUGAGCUUACUAGAAGGUUCUCUCCGAAUGCUAGGAUCAGACAAGGUGACCCCCUCUUCCCUUACAUUUUUGUCCUAUGCAUGGAAAAACUUUCCCAUAUUAUCAUUGAACAUAUCUCCUCUGGAACCUGGAAACCUGUUAAGGUUGCUAGAAAUGGCCCUGCUAUAUCCCACCUUUUCUUUGAGGAUGACCUCAUUUUAUUCGGGGAAGCCUCUAUCCACCAAGCUAAGCUUAUGAAGCAUUGCUUGGACCUCUUUUGUGGUGCCUCGGGUCAGCAAGUUAGCUUUGAGAAAUCUAGAAUCUGCUGUUCCCCUAAUACUGAACCUGGAAUUGCUGCUUCUAUAGCCAAUAUUUGCGGGUCUCCCCUCAUGGAUUGCCUUGGGAAUUAUCUUGGUGUUCCCUUGAUCCAAUCUAGAAUUACCAAGGAUACUUACUUUGGGAUUGUUGACAAAGUGCAGCGCAGAUUAGCCUCCCGGAAGAGCCACACUUUAUCUAUGGCAGGGAGACUCACUUACUUGCAAGCUGUCACCUCUGCUAUUCCAAUCUAUACGAUGCAAUCGGUUGAGCUUCCUAUAUCUACUUGUAACCAGCUUGAUAAGAUUAACAAGGAUUUCUUGUGGGGUUAUUCGGUGACCAAACUAAAAUCCACCUUGUCAACUGGGACACUGUUUGCCAUCCUAAGAGCUGUGGUGGGCUAGGUCUAAAAAAGACCCAUUUUAUGAACCAGGCCCUUCUUGCCAAGACUGGUUGGAAACUUAUUCAAAAAAAGCAGGGUCUUUGGUCCGAAGUUCUCAAUGGCAAGUACCUAAAAGACCAAAAUUUGCUUGCUGCGCCUAAUCUUAAAUUCCUAAAUUGCUCUAGUACUUGGCGAGGUAUUCUUUUUGGGACUCAACUCGCCUCCAAAGGUCUUAAAUGGAGAGUUGGGAAUGGUGACAAUAUGUUGCUUUGGAAGGAUAAUUGGGCUGGCUGUGGUCCUCUGGAGAACUUCACCACAGUCCCCCUUACUGCUGAUAUGCUGGACUGGACCGUGAGUGUUUUUCUCACGGAGCAAGGGUGGAACACAGACUGGCUUAUGGGCUGCCUCCCCUUGCAUGUGGUGCAAAAAAUCCAUUGCAUUUUUGCAGGGUUUAAUCACACUGAGGCGGACUCUUGUAUAUGGAAGCUCACCUCCAAUGGUGAAUUUUCUGUGAAAACGGCUUACCUCUCCUUGUUUACUGAGGAGACCAACUAUACUUGGAAUUGGGAUAUUAUUUGGAAGCUGCAGGUCCCCCCCAAGAUCAAAACCUUUCUCUGGCUGUUGAUUCAUGGUAAGCUCCUAACCAAUGUCCAACGUGUGAGAAGAAACUUAGCUUCCAACUCCAACUGCCCUUGUUGCAAUGGCUCCAUGGAGUCCUUGGAUCAUCUCUUUCGCAGGUGCAGUCAUGCGGCUAAAAUGUGGAACUCCAUUGGCAUUCCCAAUCAAGUUGCUCACUCCUUCUCUAUGGAUUUUAAGGACUGGCUCUUCACCAAUAUUAAAGCUAGUUUCAGCUGCAUGCAGGGUAUCCCUUGGUCCUCCCUGUUUUUGGUUGCCCUAUGGUUUUGCUGGAAAUGGCGCUGUAAGAAAGUUUUUGAUCUCAACUUCUCUCCUCCUCCCUGGCCCCACAUUCCGAUCAUCCAUUUCUCCCGUGAAUGGCUGGUGGCUAACAGAUCCAGGAACUCCAAGCUUCCUAAACAUGUUCUUAAACUUCACUGGUCUCCUCCCUGUGUUGGCUGGUUUAAGAUUAACGUGGAUGGUAGUUGUAUGGGUGAGUUGGGCGCUAUUAGUGCUGGUGGCAUCAUAAGGAACGAUGCUGGUGUUUGGGUCAAGGGGUUUGUUACGAAGCUGGGAUGUGGCAGUAUCCUAGAAGCGGAGCUUUGGGGAGUCUUCAGAGGCUUGCUCCUCACGUGGAACGAAAGUAUCCGAAGAAUUCAGAUGGAAUGUGACUCUCUCACUGCUGUCUCUCUUAUUAAUGGAGAAACUGGAACUAACCACCCCCUUUCUAGCAUCAUCCAUUGCUGCAAAGACUUGCUCUUGCGUGACUGGGAGUGCACCAUCUAUCACAUCUAUAGAGAGCAAAACUCUGCUGCGGACCAUAUGGCUCACUUGGGUCAAAAUUCCAGUUUGGGUUUUCAUGUUAUUGAUCUUCC